rnacentral:rRNA from 1 species
AGCGAACGCUGGCGGCAGGCCUAACACAUGCAAGUCGAACGAACCUUUCGGGGUUAGUGGCGGACGGGUGAGUAACACGUGGGAACGUGCCUUUAGGUUCGGAAUAACUAAGGGAAACUUGUGCUAAUACCGAAUGUGCCCUUCGGGGGAAAGAUUAAUCGCCUUUAGAGCGGCCCGCGUCUGAUUAGCUAGUUGGUUGAGGUAAUGGCUCACCAAGGCGACGAUCAGUAGCUGGUCUGAGAGGAUGAUCAGCCACAUUGGGACUGAGACACGGCCCAAACUCCUACGGGAGGCAGCAGUGGGGAAUCUUGCGCAAUGGGCGAAAGCCUGACGCAGCCAUGCCGCGUGAAUGAUGAAGGUCUUAGGAUUGUAAAAUUCUUUCACCGGGGACGAUAAUGACGGUACCCGGAGAAGAAGCCCCGGCUAACUUCGUG